GGGCGUGUGGUCUAGUGGUAUGAUUCUCGCUUUGGGCAAAUCCUCCCUCAAAAAGGAGGACAGAGCAUGCGAGAGGCCCUGGGUUCAAUUCCCAGCUCGCCCC
rnacentral:tRNA from 1 species